rnacentral:rRNA from 1 species
UACGGGGGGGGCAAGCGUUGUUCGGAAUUACUGGGCGUAAAGGGUUCGUAGGUGGCUGGCUAAGUCAGACGUGAAAUCCCUCAGCUCAACUGGGGAACUGCGUCUGAGACUGGUCGGCUCGAGUGCAGGAGAGGAACGCGGAAUUCCAGGUGUAGCGGUGAAAUGCGUAGAUAUCUGGAGGAACACCGGUGGCGAAGGCGGCGUUCUGGACUGCCACUGACACUGAAGAACGAAAGCCAGGGGAGCAAACGGG